rnacentral:rRNA from 1 species
AAUCAACGCUGGCGGCGUGCCUAACACAUGCAAGUCGAACGCGAAGGUCCCGCAAGGGAUUGGUAGCGUGGCAAACGGGUGAGUAACACGUGGGUGACCUGCCUUCGAGUGGGGGAUAACGUCCCGAAAGGGACGCUAAUACCGCAUGACAUCCUGCCUUUGAAGAGGCGGAGAUCAAAGGCCGGGGAUCGCAAGACCUGGCGCUUGAAGGAGGGGCCCGCGCCUGAUUAGCAGUUGGUGGGGUAAUGGCUCACCAAGGCAACGAUCAGUAUCCGGCCUGGA